rnacentral:lncRNA from 1 species
CAAGACAAGUCUGCUCGUCCUGACCCUCUUGACUGUCUUCGUCACAGCUGGUAACAUGGUUGUAUGUGGCCUGAGAGAUACCACAGUCUACAACCCCAAGUCAUUUAAGUUCGAGCGUGCGGGUGAAGAGGAGUCCUGGUCCCCGCUAGGACUGUUCGCGUGUGCUCCCGUACACAGGAGUCUCAAGAAUAUCAUUGGCAAAUCCACGACUAACAUUCGCC